UUAAAAUGAAACUAGGUACUCUGUAAAAAUUAAUGAAUGCCUUGAAUUUCUUUCAGUUCCAUCAUAAAUGUUAAAAAUUUAAAGUGAUAUACUGUAUCCACACAAUUAUUGCAUCAGAACGAUUAAUUAAGUGUGCACUAAGUACAUUUAAACCAUGGCUUCUCUGAAGCCCCAUGCCUUCUGUCCCUCCACCAUCCAAGAGUCAGGAAGUGAACCACAGGGACUGUAGCGGCACGUUAGAAUAACCAGUAAUGAAACUGUCUCCACAUGUUUUAAUCCCACACUAAGGACACGGCACUGCUGCUCACUAACUAGUGACUGAUGAGACUGGAACUGUGUCUGUCUGUUCCCUGUAAAAAUAAAAUGGGCACCAAACAAUUUCAGGAA